GUGGCAUUGAUGGGCGGGGGGGAAUUAAGAAUGUUGUGUUUACAUUGCAGCCAGUUAAGACUGCUUGUUAUUAGUAAAUAAUGAGGGGACUGACACAGCUGAUCUUUUCUAUUUCUCUAAUUCUGCAAUUACAUGAUUUAUUCAUUCUUUCAGAGUGAGUCUGAGAAGCACUUAUGUACUGAGAGCUGUGCUGAAAUGUGAGACUGCAGGAAAGAAAAAUACCGCCUCUGUCCUCUAGGAACUUUCCAUCUAUGGGAAAGACGGGGACAAUGAAAGCAAUGAUCAUACUGUGCUGUAAGCGGAGUGAAAAGGUUAUGUCCAGGGUCCAGGGAGAGGAAAGAGGAGAGGCAACAUGGAGGAGACCUUCAGGGAACAGAAAAACCUGAGCCGGGUACAGUGAGGAGGACCUGGCGGGAGAGAAGUGACGACAGGCUGCUGCAGACAGAAUGGAGCUGUGCCGGGGCACCAGGGAAUGGGGAGCUUGGUGCUUCGUACAAACAGGUCAAGGUACCUGGAGCACAAAGGAGCCGGUUGGGAAGAGAAGAGUGGUGGUGGAAAAGAAAUUGAGGAGGGAAAGAAAAGGAGACAUGGCAAGAAAAAGAGCAGAAGAUUCUCUGCUUCAAGGAUCCUGGGACUUCCUUUGAGUCCUUGCACUUUAGCAAGUGAUGAACUCACUCACAAAGGGGGUGACAGACAUGCUAGAACAUUAGGGUAAUAGCUGGACUUUGUGCUCAGACUCAUGCAAGAGCAUGGACCAGGACAAUGCACAGGAACAACGGACCACAGAAACUCUCAGGAGUUGUGAGAAGAAAUCUGAACUCCUGAGAUGUGAAGGGGGACCACGGGGCUUCCGCUAACAACUGGAUUGCACAACCACCCA
rnacentral:lncRNA from 1 species